ensembl:snoRNA SNORD26 Small nucleolar RNA SNORD26
CCGCCGAGAUGACGACCCGAACUCUCUCUUUCUGACCCCCGCAUGGAGAAACCUCUUCACAACCCUCUGAGCGGC